rnacentral:rRNA from 1 species
AUUGAACGCUGGCGGCAGGCCUAACACAUGCAAGUCGAGCGGAUGAAGGGAGCUUGCUCCUGGAUUCAGCGGCGGACGGGUGAGUAAUGCCUAGGAAUCUGCCUGGUAGUGGGGGAUAACGUCCGGAAACGGGCGCUAAUACCGCAUACGUCCUGAGGGAGAAAGUGGGGGAUCUUCGGACCUCACGCUAUCAGAUGAGCCUAGGUCGGAUUAGCUAGUUGGUGGGGUAAAGGCCUACCAAGGCGACGAUCCGUAACUGGUCUGAGAGGAUGAUCAGUCACACUGGAACUGAGACACGGUCCAGACUCCUACGGGAGGCAGCAGUGGGGAAUAUUGGACAAUGGGCGAAAGCCUGAUCCAGCCAUGCCGCGGGUGUGAAGAAGGUCUUCGGAUUGUAAAGCACUUUAAGUUGGGAGGAAGGGCAGUAAGUUAAUACCUUGCUGUUUUGACGUUACCAACAGAAUAAGCACCGGCUAACUUCGUGC